GAUGAAGAACGUAGCGAAAUGCGAUAAGUAAUGUGAAUUGCAGAAUUCAGUGAAUCAUCGAAUCUUUGAACGCACCUUGCGCCCUUUGGACUUCUGAAGGGCAUGCCUGUUUGAGUAUCAUGAACACCUCAACUCCUUAUGGUCUUCCAUGAUGAGCUUGGACUUUGGGGGUUUUGCUGGCCUACAGUCAGCUCCUCUAAAAUAAAUCAGCUUACCUGUGUUUGGUGGGUAUCAUGGGUGUGAUUACUAUCUACGCUCGUGGUUUUCCACCAGGUAACCUUCAGCAGUGGAGGUUCACUGGAGCUCAUAGAUGUCUCUCCUCAGCGAGGACAGCCCUUUGCAUGUUUGAUCUCAAAUCAGGUAGGACUACCCGCUGAACUUAAGCAUAUCAUAAGCGGAGGA
rnacentral:misc_RNA from 1 species